rnacentral:rRNA from 1 species
GACGAACGCUGGCGGCGUGCUUAACACAUGCAAGUCGAACGGAAAGGCCCUGCUUUUGUGGGGUGCUCGAGUGGCGAACGGGUGAGUAACACGUGAGUAACCUGCCCCUGACUUUGGGAUAACCUCAUGAAACUGGGGCUAAUCCCGGAUAGGAGUUCCUGCCGCAUGGUGGGGGCUGGAAAGUUUCGGCGGUUGGUGAUGGACUCGCGUCUUAUCAGCUCGUUGGAGGGGUAGUGGCUUACCAUGGCUUUGACAGGUAGCCGGCCUGGGAGGGUGACCGGCCACGUUGGAACGGGGAUACGGCACAGACUCCAACGGUACGCAGGAGUGGGGAAGAUUGCACAGUAGGCGGAGGCCAGGUCCAGUAACGCCACGUGCGGGGUGACGGCCUUGGGUUUGUGUUCCACAGUCGCCUGUGACGAGGCGAGAGUGACGGUAAUGGGUGAAGAAGCACCGGCUAACUACGUG